UACGAAGGGGGCUAGCGUUGCUCGGAAUCACUGGGCGUAAAGCGCACGUAGGCGGAUUGUUAAGUCAGGGGUGAAAUCCUGGAGCUCAACUCCAGAACUGCCUUUGAUACUGACGAUCUCGAGUCCGGGAGAGGUGAGUGGAACUGCGAGUGUAGAGGUGAAAUUCGUAGAUAUUCGCAAGAACACCAGUGGCGAAGGCGGCUCACUGGCCCGAUACUGACGCUGAGGCACGAAAGCGUGGGGAGCAAACAGG
rnacentral:rRNA from 1 species